ensembl:lncRNA LINC01487 long intergenic non-protein coding RNA 1487
AUGGUCUCCAGCAUCCAAGGAGAGUGUGGGCAGCUGGAGCCAGUUAGCACUGCCUCUAAGGUCUCCUGCAACUCACCCACCCACCCCUCUUACUCCAUGGUAUUCAACUUCUAAACUAAGAGGAAAGCCCGAGCUAGAGGUCCUAUGCAUCAAUCAGGGAAGAGAUAUUGAGAAGAAUAAACAGAGAAACUGUAUUUUUUCUCUCAACUAAAACAUCCAUUUUAAUCAAUAUUUGGCAAGAAAAUAUAUACCUGUUUCAUCUUCACUGGUUAUUUCCAUAAACUGGAAAGAAGGACUGUCUAAAUGGUAGUUAUGUCCCAUGAGAUGUUUAAGCAAAAGGGAAAAUUAUACAAAAAAGAAUGCCAUAUUUUGUCUGCGCCACCAGAAUGACAAUAAAAAUUUAUCAUGCUAGAAAGUAAUGCCGUGGUAUCCAAA